UGCUUUACGCUUGCAUGAACGUU
rnacentral:snRNA from 1 species